UACGUAGGUGGCAAGCGUUGUCCGGAUUUAUUGGGCGUAAAGAGCGUGUAGGCGGCCAGGUAGGUCUGCUGUGAAAACUCGAGGCUCAACCUCGAGACGCCGGUUGAAACCAUCAGGCUAGAGUCCGGAAGAGGAGAGUGGAAUUCCCGGUGUAGCGGUGAAAUGCGCAGAUAUCGGGAAGAACACCCGUGGCUAAGGCGGCUCUCUAGUACGGUACUGACGCUGAGACGCGAAAGCGUGGGGAGCGAACAGG
rnacentral:rRNA from 1 species